CAGAAAAUAGUUUAAUAAAAAUACUAACUUUGGGUGUUAGAGUUCUUUAAUUUAAGUUAUCUGA
rnacentral:tRNA from 1 species